CAACAGGGAUUGCCCUAGUAACGGCGAGUGAAGCGGCAACAGCUCAAAUUUGAAAUCUGGCCCUAGGCCCGAGUUGUAAUUUGUAGAGGAUGCUUUUGGUGACGCGCCUACCGAGUCCCCUGGAAUGGGGCGCCACAGAGGGUGAGAGCCCCGUAUGGUUUGCCGCCGAGCCUCUGUAAAGCUCCUUCGACGAGUCGAGUAGUUUGGGAAUGCUGCUCUAAAUGGGAGGUAAAUUUCUUCUAAAGCUAAAUACCGGCCAGAGACCGAUAGCGCACAAGUAGAGUGAUCGAAAGAUGAAAAGCACUUUGAAAAGAGGGUUAAAUAGCACGUGAAAUUGUUGAAAGGGAAGCGCUUGUGACCAGACUCGCGCCGGGCGGAUCAUCCAGCGUUCUCGCUGGUGCACUCCGCCCGGCUCGGGCCAGCAUCGGUUUUCGCCGGGGGACAAAAGCUUCGGGAACGUGGCUCCCUUCGGGGAGUGUUAUAGCCCGUUGCAUAAUACCCCGGCGGGGACCGAGGACCGCGCUUCGGCAUGGAUGCUGGCGUAAUGGUCAUCAGCGACCCGUCUUGAAACACGGACCGAGGAGUCAAGCAUUAGUGCGAGUGUUUGGGUGUAAAACCCGCACGCGUAAUGAAAGUGAACGUAGGUGAGAGCUUCGGCGCAUCAUCGACCGAUCCUGAUGUUUUCGGAUGGAUUUGAGUAGGAGCAUUAACGCUUGGACCCGAAAGAUGGUGAACUAUACUUGAAUAGGGUGAAGCCAGAGGAAACUCUGGUGGAGGCUCGCAGCGGGUUCUGACGUGCAAAUCGAUCGUCAAAUUUGAGUAUAGGGGCGAAAGACUAAUCGAACCAUCUAGUAGCUGGUUACCGCC
rnacentral:rRNA from 1 species